GAUGACAAAGAGAGACAACACUUAAGGUGCAAACUCCAUGAAAAGUUUGAUAUUCACCAAUGGAUUUAGGCAUAGAACAUGCCAAGAUCAACUCAAUUUUUCCUUGCUUAACCUGCAUAAAAGUAGAAACACUAAACAAAGUAGAGUCAAGAUCGUUAGAAAAAAACAUAUGAUCUCACAUCCUUUCUCACAAUCAGCUUACUCUUAGAAUUUUUAAUCUCUUUUUCAUGCUCAGUAGCUGACUUUUUUCCCUC
rnacentral:lncRNA from 1 species